AUUGAACGCUGGCGGAAUGCUUUACACAUGCAAGUCGAGCGGCAGCACGGGGGCAACCCUGGUGGCGAGCGGCGCACGGGUGAGUAAUACAUCGGAACAUGCCCAGUCGUGGGGGAUAACACGUCGAAAGAAGUGCUAAUACCGCAUAGGUGCGGAGGGAGAAAGCGGGGGAUCUUCGGACCUUCCGCGAUCGGAGUGGCCGAUGUCAGAUUAGCUAGUUGGUGGGGUAAAGGCCUAACAAGGCAACGAUCUGUAGCUGGUCUGAGAGGAUGAUCAGCCACACUGGGACUGAGAAACGGCCCAGACUCCUACGGGAGGCAGAAGUGGGGAAUUUUGGACAAUGGGGGCAACCCUGAUCCAGCCAUUCCGCGUGAGUGAAGAAGGCCUUCGGGUUGUAAAGCUCUUUCGGCAGGAACGAAACGGCGAGCUCUAACCUAGCUUGCUAAUGACGGUACCUGAAGAAGAAGCACCGGCUAACUACGUGCCAGCCGCCGCCGUAACAC
rnacentral:rRNA from 1 species